rnacentral:rRNA from 1 species
GAUGAACGCUGGCGGCGUGCCUAAUACAUGCAAGUCGAGCGAACAGACGAGGAGCUUGCUCCUCUGACGUUAGCGGCGGACGGGUGAGUAACACGUGGAUAACCUACCUAUAAGACUGGGAUAACUUCGGGAAACCGGAGCUAAUACCGGAUAAUAUAUUGAACCGCAUGGUUCAAUAGUGAAACACGGUUUUGCUGUCACUUAUAGAUGGAUCCGCGCCGCAUUAGCUAGUUGGUAAGGUAACGGCUUACCAAGGCAACGAUGCGUAGCCGACCUGAGAGGGUGAUCGGCCACACUGGAACUGAGACACGGUCCAGACUCCUACGGGAGGCAGCAGUAGGGAAUCUUCCGCAAUGGGCGAAAGCUUGACGGAGCAACGCCGCGUGAGUGAUGAAGGUCUUCGGAUCGUAAAACUCUGUUAUUAGGGAAGAACAAAUGUGUAAGUAACUAUGCACGUCUUGACGGUACCUAAUCAGAAAGCCACGGCUAACUACGUG